rnacentral:rRNA from 3 species
UCUGGUGACUAUAGCAAGGAGGUCACACCUGUUCCCAUGCCGAACACAGAAGUUAAGCUCCUUAGCGUCGAUG